GCCUAGCCCAGAUAGAAGCGGUAUCCUUUAUAAGGCAAUUUUUCUUUGCCUUAUAAAGAUACAAGCGGAUAGCUUGAAAUUGC
rnacentral:sRNA from 1 species